GACAGAGGGUGCAAACGUUGUUCGGAAUUACUGGGCGUAAAGCGCAUGUAGGCGGCCAUGCAAGUCGGGUGUGAAAGCCCGGGGCUCAACCCCGGAAGUGCACUCGAAACUGCACGGCUGGAGUCUCGGAGAGGAUCGCGGAAUUCUGGGUGUAGAGGUGAAAUUCGUAGAUAUCCAGAGGAACACCAGUGGCGAAGGCGGCGAUCUGGACGAGUACUGACGCUGAGAUGCGAAAGCGUGGGGAGCAAACAGG
rnacentral:rRNA from 1 species